CAGAAGAUCAUGAAGCGCCUCAUCAAGAGACACGUCCUCAAAGCACAGCAAGAUAGAGAAAACCACCAAGGGAGUGAAGGUGAGCUGAAGGAGAUCAAGCAGGACAUCUCCAGUCUUGGCCAGGAGCUGCUGGAGGCCAGCAAGCAGGAAGUGAGCGCCCUGGCGGAGGUCAUCAGCCACCUGGGCGAGGUGUGACCAGGGACACUUCAUUAGACAGAACAAGAAGAAGUCAGGAGCAGCAAAACACAACAAAACAAAGUUUUUAUCUUCUCUUCUUUUGAUUUGCAGGCACUGACAUGUGUGUAUUUACUCCUGAUAUUUUAUUUGUAUGUGUGUAUUUACUCCUGAUAUUUUAUUUGUAUGUGUGUAUUUACUCCUGAUAUUUAAUUUGUAUGUGUGUAUUUACUCCCGAUAUUUUAUUUGUAUGUGUGUAUUUACUCCUGAUAUUUAAUUUGUAUGUGUGUAUUUACUCCUGAUAUUU